UACGGGGGGGGCAAGCGUUGUUCGGAAUUACUGGGCGUAAAGGGCUCGUAGGUGGCCAACUAAGUCGGACGUGAAAUCCCUCAGCUUAACUGGGGAACUGCGUCCGAUACUGGAUGGCUUGAGUUUGGGAGAGGGAUGCGGAAUUUCAGGUGUAGCGGUGAAAUGCGUAGAUAUCUGGAGGAACACCGGUGGCGAAGGCGGCAUCCUGGACCAACACUGACACUGAGGAGCGAAAGCCAGGGGAGCAAACGGG
rnacentral:rRNA from 1 species